GUUGAGUUUAUCAGCCUGUAUCUCAGAUCAACAUCUCCCUCUGCCCAAUCCUGUUUUCUUUCCUCCAACCCACAGACAUGGAUCUCAAGAGCUCGCCUUCAUAAUUAUCCUGAACACUAAAGUCUGUCUCAGAGUCUGCUUCCUGGAAAACCCAAACUGCCACAGUUGGAGCCAGGAGAGAUCGAGAAAGCAGAUGAUAAGAUGGGGUUUUGAAGCUGGAUCACUACCCAGCUGGUAUGAGGACCUCAUCACUGGUGAUGGAUGGAGCACAGAUAGCCCCUGGCAUAAGGGGACUUCACAUAACAUUGCAUCAGACCAGGGAACCCAAUUUACAGUAAAAAAGAUGUGAGAGUGGACCCAUGACAAUGGUAUCUGCUGGUUGUAUCACUUACUGCAACACCCUGAAGCUCCUGGCCUGACAGCGUAUUGGGGUGCCAUGCUGAAGUUGCAAUAGUAAAUGGAUAAUGCAGCAAGGACAUGGCGACCAGGAACCCAGACCUCUCUGGGAUGUGAAUCUAGAUCGUGACCCCAGGUGUCGAUCCCAAAGGCACUCCCUGAUAAACAUCCUGGACACUAAACUCUGACUCAGAGUCUUCUUCCUGCAGAGCCUGAACUGUGAAAAUGCCCUGUCAUCACAAAUACUUUAGUAUGUAUUUUUUACUAGUGAAUAUUCAUCUAGAUAAC